rnacentral:lncRNA from 1 species
AGUGGGAGACAGUUUUUUUGUUUAUUUCAGUGAAGGGAAACUUGCUUUGGAAGUAGUUAUUGAUGAAAAAAAUGGAGGUCGUAAGUACGUGCUUCGGACCAAUGCUUUCGGUGAUCCUCCUCCCGGUGCUGCAAGCAAUUACACUGUUAUGCAUGCAGAGGCCAAUUGUAUUAUUAUUAUUCUACAGGAGCAUCGUGAUGGAAUGGCCGACUGUGUGUUAUGGACAAAGGAAAGCCUUGUUGGAAAUGAACCAUUCGAGUGUGACUUCAUUUUUGAGUAUAAUUGUAAUAUGCCAAUGGACGUCAUCGAGAGCGUAGAUGAUUGUAAAUAGCAUGCCUUGUCAAUAAAUGCGAGGCUUCAAGGA